CAACAGGGAUUGCCUCAGUAACGGCGAGUGAAGCGGCAAAAGCUCAAAUUUGAAAUCUAGCACCUUCGGUGUUCGAGUUGUAAUUUGAAGAUGGUAACCUUGGGUUUGGCUCUUGUCUAUGUUCCUUGGAACAGGACGUCAUAGAGGGUGAGAAUCCCGUCUGAUGAGAUGCCCAUUCCUUUGUAAGGUACUAUCGAAGAGUCGAGUUGUUUGGGAAUGCAGCUCUAAGUGGGUGGUAAAUUCCAUCUAAAGCUAAAUAUUGGCGAGAGACCGAUAGCGAACAAGUACAGUGAUGGAAAGAUGAAAAGAACUUUGAAAAGAGAGUGAAAAAGUACGUGAAAUUGUUGAAAGGGAAGGGCAUUAGAUCAGACUUGGUGUUUUACGAUUAUCUUCUCUUCUUGAGUUGUGCACUCGUAUUUCACUGGGCCAGCAUCGAUUCGGAUGGUAAGAUAAUAGCAGUUAAAUGUGGCUCUUCGGAGUGUUAUAGUUUCUGUUGAUAUUGCCUGUCUGGAUCGAGGGCUGCGUCUUUUGACUAGGAUGCUGG
rnacentral:rRNA from 1 species